AUUGAACGCUGGCGGCAGGCCUAACACAUGCAAGUCGAACGGUAACAGGAAACAGCUUGCUGUUUCGCUGACGAGUGGCGGACGGGUGAGUAAUGUCUGGGAAACUGCCUGAUGGAGGGGGAUAACUACUGGAAACGGUAGCUAAUACCGCAUAACGUCGCAAGACCAAAGAGGGGGACCCUCGGGCCUCUUGCCAUCGGAUGUGCCCAGAUGGGAUUAGCUUGUUGGUGGGGUAACGGCUCACCAAGGCGACGAUCCCUAGCUGGUCUGAGAGGAUGACCAGCCACACUGGAACUGAGACACGGUCCAGACUCCUACGGGAGGCAGCAGUGGGGAAUAUUGCACAAUGGGCGCAAGCCUGAUGCAGCCAUGCCGCGUGUAUGAAGAAGGCCUUCGGGUUGUAAAGUACUUUCAGCGGGGAGGAAGGGAGUAAAGUUAAUACCUGUGCUCAUUGACGUUACCCGCAGAAGAAGCACCGGCUAACUCCGUG
rnacentral:rRNA from 1 species